UACAGAGGGUGCGAGCGUUAAUCGGAAUUACUGGGCGUAAAGCGUGCGUAGACGGUUAUCUAAGUCGGAUGUGAAAGCCCCGGGCUCAACCUGGGAACUGCGUUUGUGACUGUAUGACUAGAGUACGGUAGAGAGGGGUGGAAUUCCUGGUGUAGCAGUGAAAUGCGUAGAUAUCAGGAGGAACAUCGAUGGCGAAGGCAGCCCCUUGGACCUGUACUGACGCUCAUGCACGAAAGCGUGGGGAGCAAACAGG
rnacentral:rRNA from 1 species